rnacentral:snoRNA from 1 species
AUCCUUUUGUAGUUCAUAAGUGUGAUGAUUGGGUGUUCAUGCCAUUGUGUGACAUGUGCCACCCUUGUUACGAUGCUGGCACAUUAUCCGUCUGACU